GACGAACGCUGGCGGCGUGCUUAACACAUGCAAGUCGAACGGUAAGGCCCUUCGGGGUACACGAGUGGCGAACGGGUGAGUAACACGUGGGUGAUCUGCCCUGCACUUCGGGAUAAGCCUGGGAAACUGGGUCUAAUACCGGAUAGGACCACUGCCUGCAUGGGUGGUGGUGGAAAGCUUUUGCGGUGUGGGAUGGGCCCGCGGCCUAUCAGCUUGUUGGUGGGGUGAUGGCCUACCAAGGCGACGACGGGGAGCCGGCCUGAGAGGGGGACCGGCCACAAUGGGACUGAGGUACGGCCCAGACUCCGACGGGAGGCAGCAGUGGGGAGUAUUGCACAAUGGGCGCAAGCCUGAUGCAGCGACGCCGCGUGAGGGAUGGCGGCCUUCGGGUGGUAAACCUCUUUCAGCACCGACGAAGCGCAAGUGACGGUAGGUGCAGAAGAAGGACCGGCCAACUACGUGCCAGCAGCCGCCGUAA
rnacentral:rRNA from 1 species